AGAGUUUGAUCCUGGCUCAGAACGUACGCUGGCGGCACGCCUAACACAUGCAAGUCGAACGAAGUAGCAAUACUUAGUGGCAGACGGGUGAGUAACAUGUAGGUAUCUGCCCUUUGGCCUGGAAUAACACGAGGAAACUUGUGCUAAUACCGGAUAAGUCUUUACGGAGAAAGCUUUAUGCACCAUUGGAUGAGCCUGCACUUGAUUAGUUUGUUGGUGGGGUAAUGGCCUACCAAGACUGUGAUCAAUAGCUGAUUUGAGAGGAUGAUCAGCCACAUUGGGACUGAGACACGGCCCAAACUCCUACGGGAGGCAGCAGUGGGGAAUCUUGCACAAUGGAGGAAACUCUGAUGCAGCGAUGCCGCGUGAGUGAAGAAGGCCUUUGGGUUGUAAAGCUCUUUCGUCGGGGAAGAAAAUGACUGUACCCGAAUAAGAAGGUCCGGCUAACUUCGUGCCAGCAGCCGCGGUAAUACGAAGGGACCUAGCGUAGUUCGGAUUUACUGGGCUUAAAGAGUUCGUAGGUGGUUGAAAAAGUUAGUGGUGAAAUCCCAGAGCUUAACUCUGGAACUGCCACUAAAACUUUUCAGCUAGAGUAUGAUAGAGGAAAGCAGAAUUUCUAGUGUAGAGGUGAAAUUCGUAGAUAUUAGAAAGAAUACCAAUUGCGAAGGCAGCUUUCUGGAUCAUUACUGACACUGAGGAACGAAAGCAUGGGUAGCGAAGAGGAUUAGAUACCCUCGUAGUCCAUGCCGUAAACGAUGUGUGUUAGACGUUGGAAAUUUAUUUUCAGUGUCGCAGCGAAAGCGAUAAACACACCGCCUGGGGAGUACGACCGCAAGGUUAAAACUCAAAUGAAUUGACGGGGACCCGCACAAGUAGUGGAGCAUGUGGUUUAAUUCGAAGAUACGCGCAGAACCUUACCAACACUUGACAUGUUCGUCGCGACUCUAAGAGAUUAGAGUUUUCGGUUCGGCCGGACGAAACACAGGUGCUGCAUGGCUGUCGUCAGCUCGUGUCGUGAGAUGUUGGGUUAAGUCCCGCAACGAGCGCAACCCUCACUUUUAGUUGCCAUCAUUAAGUUGGGCACUCUGAAAGAACUGCCAGUGAUAAGCUGGAGGAAGGUGGGGAUGACGUCAAGUCCUCAUGGCCCUUACGUGUUGGGCUACACACGUGCUACAAUGGUAUCUACAACAGGAAGCAAGACUGCGAAGUUAAGCAAAUCCCUAAAAGAUACCUCAGUUCGGAUUGCACUCUGCAACUCGAGUGCAUGAAGCUGGAAUUACUAGUAAUCGUGGAUCAGCGUGCCACGGUGAAUGCGUUCCCGGGUCUUGUACACACCGCCCGUCACACCAUGGGAGUUGGUUCUACCUUAAGGCAAGGUUUUAAACCCUUGACCACGGUAUAGUCAGCGACUGGGGUGAAGUCGUAACAAGGUAACC
rnacentral:rRNA from 1 species